CCAAUAGCGUAUAUUAAAGUUGCUGCAGUUAAAAAGCUCGUAGUUGAAUUUCGGGACUAAUAUGUCGGUCGUGCCUCGGUACGUACUGGUUUAUUGGUUUCUCCUUUCUGAAGAACCAUGAUGUCAUUUAUUUGGUGUCGUGGGGAAUCAGGACUGUUACUUUGAAAAAAUUAGAGUGUUUAAAGCAGGCUCACGCUUGA
rnacentral:rRNA from 1 species